rnacentral:rRNA from 1 species
UAUCUCUGUAGAGUCUGCAUAUCAAUAAGCGGAGGAAAAGAAACUAACUAGGAUUCCCUUAGUAACGGCGAGUGAAGCGGGAAGAGCUCAAAUUUGAAAUCUUCAAGGUUUUACCUUGACGAAUUGUAGUUUAAAGAAGUGUUUUCUGUUGGUGUUUUGGUAAAAGUUCUUUGGAAUAGGACAUCAUAGAGGGUGAGAAUCCCGUAUUUGACCAUUAUUUCCAACUUUGUGAUACACUUUCAAAGAGUCGGAUUGUUUGGGAAUGCAGCCCAAAAUGGGUGGUAAAUUUCAUCUAAAGCUAAAUACUGGCGAGAGACCGAUAGCGAGCAAGUACCGUGAGGGAAAGAUGAAAAGAACUUUGAAAAGAGAGUUAAACAGUACGUGAAAUUGUCAAAAGGGAAGCGUUUGACACCAGUGUUGUUUUCUCGAAAAUCAAUUAAAAAUGGUGGGAUUCUGUGUUGUAUUGACUUUAUCAGCUUUCUGCACUUUUUUCCUAUCUUUUUUAAUGCACUUUUCGUUUAACAAGUCAACAUCAAUUUCUUUUGUUGUAAAAGGGUCAUUGGAAGGUGGCUUUCUUUUCGGAGAAAGUGUUUAUAGCCUUUGGCCUCUGCAAUCGGAGAGAUUGAGGUCUGCAGCGUAGAUCCUUCGGGGUUAGAUACGUAGAUGCUAAGUUAUAGUUUUUUAUAGACAACUUGUUGACUAUAAUUAAUCAUGUAGCUUACUCGUUUGCGCUAUUUUACCUACGCUUAGGAUGUUGAUCUCUCACAGUCGAGC